CAAUAGCGUAUAUUAAAGUUGUUGCGGUUAAAAAGCUCGUAGUUGGAUUUCUGCCGAGGACGACCGGUCCGCCCUCCGGGUGAGCAUCUGGCUCGGCCUAGGCAUCUUCUUGGGGAGCGUAUCUGCACUUCAUUGUGUGGUGCGGUAUCCAAGACUUUUACUUUGAGGAAAUUAGAGUGUUUCAAGCAGGCCCACGCCUUGAAUACAUUAGCAUGGAAUAAUAAGGUAGGACCUCGGUUCUAUUUUGUUGGUUUCUAGAGCUGAGGUAAUGAUUAAUAGGGAUAGUUGGGGGCAUUCGUAUUUAACUGUCAGAGGUGAAAUUCUUGGAUUUGUUAAAGACGGACUACUGCGAAANCANNNGCCAAGGAUGUUUUCAUNGA
rnacentral:rRNA from 1 species